rnacentral:rRNA from 1 species
CAAGUUUGAUCAUGGCUCAGGAUGAACGCUAGCUACAGGCUUAACACAUGCAAGUCGAGGGGCAGCAUGGUCUUAGCUUGCUAAGGCCGAUGGCGACCGGCGCACGGGUGAGUAACGCGUAUCCAACCUGCCUUACACUCUUGGACAGCCUUCUGAAAGGGAGAUUAAAUACAAGAUGUUAUCAUGAGUAAGCAUUUUCGCAUGAUUAAAGGUUUACCGGUGUAAGAUGGGGAUGCGUUCCA